CUAAAACUUUAAAAAAAAUGGAAGGUUGCAAGGUAAGGAUAUCGAAUUCAUGGCUACGAAAGAAUAAAGACUUUCAGGUUAGAAGAGCUCCAAACGGAGCUAGCACACAGUAUUUGAAGAAACACAUUCAUCCUUGUUUGUCAGGAUUCAGGAACCA